ACGCACGCUGGCGGCGUGCCUAAUACAUGCAAGUAGAACGCACAGUUUAUACCGUAGCUUGCUACACCAUAGACUGUGAGUUGCGAACGGGUGAGUAACGCGUAGGUAACCUGCCUGGUAGCGGGGGAUAACUAUUGGAAACGAUAGCUAAUACCGCAUAAUAUUAAUUAUUGCAUGAUAAUUAAUUGAAAGGUGCAAUUGCACCACUACCAGAUGGACCUGCGUUGUAUUAGCUAGUAGGUGAGGUAACGGCUCACCUAGGCGACGAUACAUAGCCGACCUGAGAGGGUGAUCGGCCACACUGGGACUGAGACACGGCCCAGACUCCUACGGGAGGCAGCAGUAGGGAAUCUUCGGCAAUGGACGAAAGUCUGACCGAGCAACGCCGCGUGAGUGAAGAAGGGUUUCGGAUCGUAAAGCUCUGUUGUAAGAGAAGAACGGGUGUGAGAGUGGAAAGUUCACACUGUGACGGUAGCUUACCAGAAAGGGACGGCUAACUACGUG
rnacentral:rRNA from 1 species